UCUUAUGGAUGAACAAAGAAAGUGGUUUCUUGAGAUGGAAUCUACUCCUGGUGAGGACGUGUGAGCA
rnacentral:pre_miRNA from 1 species